AGAGUUUGAUCCUGGCUCAGGAUGAACGCUAGCGGCAGGCUUAACACAUGCAAGUCGAGGGGUAGAGGAAGCUUGCUUCCUUGAGACCGGCGCACGGGUGCGUAACGCGUAUGCAAUCUACCUUGUACAGGGGGAUAGCCCAGAGAAAUUUGGAUUAAUACCCCAUAGUAUUAUUGAAUGGCAUCAUUUGAUUAUUAAAGUUCCAACGGUACAAGAUGAGCAUGCGUCCCAUUAGCUAGUUGGUGUGGUAACGGCACACCAAGGCGACGAUGGGUAGGG
rnacentral:rRNA from 1 species